rnacentral:rRNA from 1 species
GACGAACGCUGGCGGCGUGCUUAACACAUGCAAGUCGAACGGAAAGGCCCUGCUUGCAGGGUGCUCGAGUGGCGAACGGGUGAGUAACACGUGGGUGAUCUGCCCCUUACUUUGGGAUAAGCAUGGGAAACUGGGUCUAAUACUGGAUAGGACCAUGCUGUAGGUGGUGUGGUGGAAAGAUUAGUUUCGGUAAGGGAUGAGCUCGCGGCCUAUCAGCUUGUUGGUGGGGUAAUGGCCUACCAAGGCGUCGACGGGUAGCCGGCCUGAGAGGGUGGACGGCCACAUUGGGACUGAGAUACGGCCCAGACUCCUACGGGAGGCAGCAGUGGGGAAUAUUGCACAAUGGGCGCAAGCCUGAUGCAGCGACGCCGCGUGGGGGAUGACGGCCUUCGGGUUGUAAACUCCUUUCAGCCAUGACGAAGCCCUUGUGGUGACGGUAGUGGUAGAAGAAGCACCGGCUAACUACGUG